CAGUUUCUAUUAUGUGACUCUGUGGCACAGUCUUUAGUGUCACGGACCUAUGACACGGGCGACCCGGGUUCGAUUCCCCUUUAAGGCAAUUUUUUAUAUAAACUGUUGAUUCAUACAUAAAUGCGAUGUUCUUUAUAAAUUACGGCGAUUAUAUUGCAUAUAGUUCCCUGUAUUCAGAUGCUGUGUUCACGUAUUUACCUUUCUUUUUACUGUGUCUAUGAUAUUUACAUUACAAUCCAGGAUGCUAUAGCACUCAAACUUGCUCACAGUGUAAAACCAAACCCUAUUCAUUCACCAAUCAGAUCCGAGCGUUUCUCUCUUCUCUCUUCCUCAUUUGCUGCGUUCCGCUGUCACUCACGUGACGUAUUACAAAGCGGCAGACCUAAACGCAUCGGUUUACUUGGAUUUGGAGCGAUUUUCACACAAAAAAGAGGAAUAACGAGCGCCAUUGCGGAAAAUCCUGGUGGCGAGGGAGAGAGAGAGGAUGCAACAAUAUUUGUUUGGAAAAAGGCAAGGAAAUACGUCUGGUCGUUUCUGAAUUGGAAGGCUGCAGCCUCCGGAGGUCAAAUAUGCAGGCUGCACACGUCAUCAAGCCUGGGUUAUUAAGUGUCUGGAGCAUGUCGACAUUGCCACAGGGGUGCCUGUGUGGGUCCUUGAUGUUGGCGUGAUUGAGCCUCACUCUCCUGCUGUGAGCUGGGCCCGCGCGGUAGCUUAGCCGACAGGUGCCAAUUUGGAGUGAGAGAGGGCACUCGGGUGAGAAGAGGAAUAUGGAAGUGCUGUAGGGUGGGAUGGCAGAUUCAUGGCAUGUCUGCCAAUCACUGAACAGCAGGAUUGAUGGCUGAAAUGGCAACCUGGUUUAAUGGUUACUGUGUGAUCACUUGGAGUGGAGCAGGAUGAAAUGUGUUUUAAAAGUUUGCAGAUGUGCGAAUGAGAGAAAACCGCUGAUUUGACACUUCCUUCGAUUUUAUGGGACUGGCUGUUGUUUGUAGUCUGGGAUCGUUGCCAAUUCAGUUUAACGGAGGAAUAAUUCAAACGUGUGAAGAGGUGUUUCUGGGCAUUAAACUGUAUACUGAAAGUCUAAUAUCUAUUCAUCUCCUGAAAUGAAAUUAAAGUGUCACUCUCAGUUUUUCUGUAACAAUGAGUGCAUUCUGCUUAAGCAUUUGA